ensembl:ncRNA C14H10.6 ncRNA
UGAUGCUUAUUCAAUGUUCCUCUCCCUUGAAACAGCACAGAAUGGAACUGCCACGUUGGAAAAAAACAUACACAAUACCCGAAUAUAAUUUUGCAUCAAUCGAUGAUUCGAAAUCAUUUGCUAGCUGCAUUC